GGAGCCAGUGCCGCUGCCGGGUGCUGGAGGCGCCAUUGGAGCCGGCUUGGCUCGGGAACUCCGCUGAGCAGGCGGAGGUUGGGCCGCAGUCCGCCGCGUCCGCUCCUGGUCCCUGGCCCGUCAGCGGCAUGGCGUGCGGGGCGACGUUGAAGCGGCCCAUGGAGUUCGAGGCGGCGCUGCUGAGCCCGGUUUCCCCGAAGCGGCGGCGCUGCGCCCCGCUGCCCGGCUCCACUCCGGGCCUCAGGCCCCCGGACGCCGAGCCGCCGCCGCUUCAGAUGCAGACCCCACCGCCGACUCCUCAGCAGCCCGGCCUGCCCGGCAACGAGCGGCGCCUUCCGACUCCGGAACAAAUUUUUCAGAACAUAAAACAAGAAUAUAGUCGUUACCAGAGGUGGAGACAAUUAGAAGUUGUUCUUAAUCAGAAUGAAGCUUGUACUUCAGAAAGUCAGCCUCACUCCUCACCACUCACAGCGCCUAAUUCUCCAGGUUCCUCCUGGAUGAAGAAGGACCAGCCCACCUUUACUCUCCGACAAGUUGGAAUAAUAUGUGAGCGUCUCUUAAAAGACUACGAAGAUAAAAUUCGGGAGGAGUAUGAGCAAAUCCUCAAUACCAAACUAGAAGAACAAUAUGAAUCUUUUGUGAAAUUCACACACGACCAGAUUAUGCGACGAUACGGGACAAGGCCCACCAGCUCCAUGCCUUUCUUUGAUAUACAGAAGAAGUUGGGCAUUGACUUAGACCACUGGCUGUCAAUCCAAAGUGCUGAACAGCCUCACAGGAUUCCAUCUCGAUGCCAUGCUUUUGAAAAAGAAUGGAUAGAAUGUUCACAUGGAAUUGGUGGUAUCCGCGCACGGAAAGAGUGCAAGAUAGAAUAUGAAGAUUUAUUAGAAUGUCUGCUUCGGCAGAAAACGUAGGCCAUAAAGCAAAGAAUAGCAACCCGUCUUGGAUGUUUGUGAAAAUCUUUGGAUUAAGACUUUACUCACUGUGGAAAAUUUACAUCAAGAGGAGGCAGUGUGGUGAGGUGGAAAGGACAUUGGAUUGAAGUUAGAAGAGCUGGGUUUUGGUGUGGUUCUGCCACCACUAUUUUUGUGUCUUUAGGCAAGUCACUUGUUUGUCUUGAUGUCCUUAUCUGGAAAUUUUAUUAAAGAGUUCCCCCAAGGUCACUUCCUCAUCCUGUGAAUUUAUGAAUAGAUAUGUUACUGUUUUAGAGGUAACCCUAAAUGACUAGAUACUUCCCCCUAGGUGAAGAAACUAGUGAUUCAGGAAGUUAGAAUCAAGCCCUGUUCUAAGUGCCUGGCAUGUAAUAAUGCAUUUAUUUCUCAUAACAACCUUGUAAGAUGCAUUACUAUUAUUUCGCCCACCAUACAAUUAAAAACACUUGAGGCAAGAAAAACUAGGGCCAUUGCCUAAGGUCAUAUAGCUAGUAAGUGUUGUAACUGGGAUUUGAGCCUGGCAAUGCUGGCUCCAGAGCCUGUGCUUAUUACAUCACAACACUAAGUGGUUAUUGGCUCUAGUUCAGGUGAAGAUUUAAUCCAUGGUGUUCUGAGAGCUCAACCAUGACUAGUCCUCUGUUGGGAAAUUUCUUUCAUAGAGAAAUCUAUUUUUUCUUAAAUAUAUUCUUAUUUAUUUCAGAGAAGAAUGGAGAAGGAGAAAGAGAUAGAAAUAUCAAUUAUGAGAGAAUCAUUCAUUGGCUGCCUCCUGCACGCCCCCCACUGGGGAUCAAGCCCACAACCUGGGCAUGUGCCUGUGACCAGAAUCGAACCUGGGACCUUUUGGUCCGCAGGCCGACGUUCCAUCCACUGAGCCAAACGAGCUAGGGCAAGAAAUCUAUUUUUUUGAUAUCUUAUUAUUGAUUUUAGAGAGAGAGAGAGAGAGAAAAACAUCAAUGAUGAGAGAGAAUCAUUGAUCGGCUGCCUCCUGCACACCCCCUACUGGGGAUUGAGCCGGCAACCCAAGCAUAUACCUUUGACUGGAAUUGAGGGACCCUUCAGUCCAUAGGCUGACCCAAACCAGCUAGGGCAACCUUUUUUUUUCUUUUUCCUUUUUAAAUCUUCACCCCAGGAUAUUUUUUCAUUGAUUUUUAGGGAGAGUGGAAGAGAGAGGGAAAGACAGAGAGAAACAUCUAUGUGAGAGAAACACAUCGAUUGGUUGUCUCCCUGACCGGCUCUGGGCCCAGGGAGGAGCCUGCAACCAAGGUACAUGCCCUUGACUGGAAUCGAACCUGUGACCCUUUGGUCCACAGGCCAACGCUCUAUCCACUGAGUCAGACCAGCUAGGACCACACAUUUUUUUUUUUUAAGUCCCUGUCCUAAUGCAGCGUAUAUAGUGUGGAGGGGAACAGAAAGUUAAACAAGUUAAAAAAUAGGGUGUCAGGAGUUGAGUGCAGUGGGGAAAAUAAACAGGAAAGGUAUAGAAAGCCCUGGUCAUGGGAGCUAAGUUGUUUUUUUUUAAAUAGAGCUGUCAGAGAAGAGUUCAGCAACACAAGACAUUUGAGCAGAGACUUAGAGAAAGUGAGCCAAGUGGAAACAAGGGGAGAGUAUGUCUGGCAGAAGCAGCAGCAAGUGCAAAGAUUCCUGAGCUGUAUCAGAGAGAGCUAGAGGAAGGUGUUAAGACAUGAAGUCAGGGAGAUCGGCCUCGUAAGUCAUUAUAAGGAAGGAUUUGUUUUUCCUUUCAGUAAGAUGGGAAGCCAUUGAGUUUUGAGCAGAUAAAUAAUGCAGUCAUGACUAGUGAGUGAGUGUAUUUUCUAUGUCGAAGGGUCCAUGUGAAUCUUGCUUUCACACAGGCUUGUAUAGCAUGACAUUUGCUAGGAAUGGCCUAUCUGAGAGGCAAAAGUCAGGGCUCAACAGUGACUAUUAGCUAUUGGGUCUUAAUUUCAGUUUGGUAAAAAGAGACCUUAUAUUGGCUAUUUCUGCUUCAUUCAUACCCAGCAAACAGUCAACAGCAGCAGAGCCACCUUCACAUAGAGAGGUCAGGAAUAUAUAGCCUUUAAUAUUUUAAAAGCUUUUAGUAUGUAUGACUAUGUCUCUUAAAAGUUUUUUAAUAUAUAUUUUUAUUGAUUUUAGAGAGGAAGGCAGAGGGAGAGAGAGAGAGAAACAUCAAUGAUGAGAGAGAAUCAUUGAUUGGCUGCCUCCUACAUACCCCACACUGGGGAUCAAGCCCACAACCCCGGCAUGUGUCCUUGACCGUAAUCACACCCAGGACCCUUCAGUCUCAAGCUGAUGUUCUAUCCACUGAGCCAAACCAGCUAGGACUCUUAAAGGUUUUUGACUUGUAAGUUUUGUUAUUAGAUUUCAAGGAGAUAUUAUUAUAUAUACCAGAAGUUUAUUUGUUAAAAGCUUGAGAAAUUAUUUCAAGUUUUUAAAAGACACGUUUUAUCUCAGAAGCCCUCUGAAAAUGAAAUCAAUUUUCCUUCCGUUUCUCCAGCCCUGGCUUUCUGGUGCAUAUCUCCCCCUAGUUUUUUAUUUGUGUAUUUGUUUAUAUUUUAGAGAAGCAUUGAUUUGUUGUUCUACUUAUUUAUGCAUUCAUUGGUUGAUACUUGUUUGUGCCCUGACUGGGGAUCAAAUCUGCAACCUUGGUGUAUCAGGGUAAUGCUCUGAGUUACCUGGCCAGGGCCUCCCUCUAGUUUUAAAUACUUUUUUCCUUUGACAGAUGAAACGCCUGAGUGCCAUCAUGAAGCA